AUGAUACUAUUAACCUUUCCUUUUUCCUUCAGGUUCCAUACAUUCUCAGCUCCCCAAUCUAGAAAAUGCGAACCUUGCAUCCUUGUUGAAGUUAAGACAGUCGUACAGCAGGAAUCCUCUUUCCUAGUGAGUUACAUGCAGGGUACCAGGCCUCCCUUUGUCAUGUGCUCUCAUCCUGCCUGUUGCCAACUCAUAGCAUCUGCUGAAAUGCAGUGGUCCACCUUCAGUGAGCCCUUCAUCACAGAAUGGCUGAGGUUGGACAGGUCCUCAGGAGGCCAUUUUGUCCAAAACGUCUGCCUUCAAUUCAAACCCUGAUAGGAAUGUCUUCAACCUGCUUUCGUACUGCCCUGAGAUAAAGAGAAAUGGAUGUCUCUCUUCUGAUGCUUCUUCUGAAAGCUUUGCAUGGAAAGAUCUUGAUGUAGGCAACGCAGCUUGACUGUUACUUAGCAGGUCAUCUUCUGUUCUGCAGUGUGGUGCUGAGGGAUGAUCUCUGCAUCUUUUCAAAGCAUCUGUUUUGUAUGGCAGUCCUCAGAGCAUCCCGGAGAGCUGAGUGCUUACUUUCCAAGCAUGCCGCUCUCGUGAAUUGCAAGUCAUGUUGCACUGUUAUUUUUAGGGUAUGUACCUUAAUUUCGUAGUUCUGCUUAACUCUUCUAGCUUUUCAAAGGUGGACAAAACAUAGCUUGUUAGCCUGGAUUUUGAGCUUAAUCACAGGUAAAAUUCUGAAACUGUUGAACAAAUGCACAAUGUCUUUUGUGUCCAGUGCAAAUCUUUCAUAGUCAAGGGAUCUGAAGUCACAGGCUGUGAAAUUAUGUAAUCACAGAUGCUGAGCUAUUAAGAUUCUGUUUCCUUAUAUAGAUCACAACUGCCUUAAUAAUGCAACUCCCAGACGUAAAUUAUACAGCUCCCUUCAAAUAAUCAACUUAGUUGAUCAGGUGUGGAGAAAGUAAGUAAGAUACAAUCUUACUUGAAAUUAUGAAUAUAUAAGGUCCAAGAAAUCAAACAUGAACCUAAACCUAGUUUGUUGUCUAACAAAAGUAAUUAACCAAUUCUUUUAAUACACAUUAACUCCUGUUUAACAAAUUUAACAUGGGUGAACAUGUAGGACAGAUGAAAAAAGAUAAAUAUGUCUGCAAUGAUAAGACAUUCCAGUUCAAAACAAAACAAAAUACAAGUGCAGACUGCAGACUCUUUGUGCACCACGAUGUCUGGAUAUUAAUAGAAUUCAGAGAAAAGAAGGCAAACUCAAUUUGCUAAGAUGCAGAGAAUAGAUGUAUUCAACUUCCUAUUAAGUAAUUGCAUAAGGCAUUUUUUAUUUUAAUGCUUGCUCUGAAUUUCUCUCUUGUUUUUCCUCUUUUUCCAUUAGAUAUUUACUGUCUUAAAUGUUUCUUAGUGCCUUCAUCAAUGUUGCGUUUAUUUCUAGCUCAAUUAAGAAGUGAUUGUAAUAGUAACUUGUAAUGACUUGCUUAAGGCAGUGCUGAAUUUGAAGGACUUUUAUGUGACAGAGCUGUGGUUUAAUGCGUGCAUUUAUUAAUAUUUAUUUCCGAAAAGGGACAUUUUCAUGUCUGCAUAAAUGUCUUGCAAACAGGAUCACUUGGUAAGCCUAUGAUUUUGAGUUAGUUAAAAAGAUAUUAUGUUGGUCAAAACCUAAUGCUUAAAGAUAACAAUCUCAUUUUUAUAACGUGAAUGAAAAGUAUCCUGGAAAGACAGCUUGUCAUAAUAAAUCAUGUUGGUCACUGUGUUCUUGUGUCUUC
ensembl:lncRNA